rnacentral:rRNA from 1 species
AUUGAACGCUGGCGGCAUGCCUUACACAUGCAAGUCGAACGGUAACGGGCCUUCGGGUGCCGACGAGUGGCGAACGGGUGAGUAAUGCGUCGGAACGUACCCAUCAGUGGGGGAUAACUCUCCGAAAGGAGGGCUAAUACCGCAUAUUCUGUGCGCAGGAAAGCGGGGGACCGCAAGGCCUCGCGCUGAUGGAGGGGCCGAUGUCAGAUUAGCUAGUUGGUGGGGUAAAGGCCUACCAAGGCGACGAUCUGUAGCGGGUCUGAGAGGAUGAUCCGCCACACUGGGACUGAGACACGGCCCAGACUCCUACGGGAGGCAGCAGUGGGGAAUUUUGGACAAUGGGGGCAACCCUGAUCCAGCCAUGCCGCGUGAGUGAAGAAGGCCUUCGGGUUGUAAAGCUCUUUCGGCCGGGAAGAAAUCGCAUCUCCUAAUACGGGGUGUGGAUGACGGUACCGGAAUAAGAAGCACCGGCUAACUACGUGCCAGCAGCCGCGGUAA